GUCAGCAGCCGCGGUAACACCGGCAGCUCUAGUGGUAACAAUUUUAUUGGGCCUAAAGCGUCCGUAGCCGGUUUAAUAAGUCUCUGGUGAAAUCCUGUAGCUUAACUGUGGGAAUUGCUGGAGAUACUAUUGGACUUGAGACCGGGAGAGGUUAGAGGUACUCCCAGGGUAGAGGUGAAAUUCUGUAAUCCUGGGAGGACCGCCUGUUGCGAAGGCGUCUAACUGGAACGGUUCUGACGGUGAGGGACGAAAGUUAGGGGCGCGAACCGGAUUAGAUACCCGGGUAGUCCUAACUGUAAACGAUGCGGACUUGGUGUUGGGGUGGCUUUGAGCUGCUCCAGUGCCGAAGGGAAGCUGUUAAGUCCGCCGCCUGGGAAGUACGGUCGCAAGACUGAAACUUAAGGAAUUGGCGGGGGAGCACCACAACGCGUGGAGCCUGCCGGUUUAAUUGGAUUCAACGCCGGACAUCUCACCAGAGGCGACAGCUGUAUGAUAGCCAGGUUGAUGACUUUGCUUGACUAGCUGAGGAGUGGUGCAUGG
rnacentral:rRNA from 1 species